CUGAAGGCUGUCCUAUAGCUUCCCUCCUCUGCUGGCUGCAAACCUUCCAGCUUUCAAACAGAAUUUAUUACAUGGAAUCCAUCCCGGCUCACUUUCUGAAUGCACAAUUUUAAUCCAGCUGGGGGAAGAAGCAGAGGAUGGUGGGGCCUCUUUGCAUUCCUUUGUUGCACAAAUCUGGGAGAGCAUUCCCCUCGUGUGGGGAGCCCACUGCACGGAUGAAAGGCACACUCUCCCUGGAGGAGUUAAAUUGGAAAUCCAAGGAGACUUCUGAGGGUGGGGAGCUCAGAGGAGGUGUGGAGAACAUAUUUCAGCAGUUCCUGAGGUGGCAGGUUUUCUCUGCCUGGCUCCAAGGCUGUCCCUCUUCUGGGCUCCAGAGGCAAGGGAUGCAGCAGCUGACACCAGGAGUUUGAGCCUGGGCUCAGGUGAUGCUGCCUGGUUGUGCUCUUUGGGAGCCGUGCAAAGUGAGGUCAUUUAAGAAGGACACACCUGCCCCUAACAGGCUUUGAAAAUUGACUUCAGAUGCGUGAAAUGGGUCAAUAAAA